ensembl:lncRNA
GGAGCACUGGGGACACACUGGGAGCACUGGGGACACACUGGGGGGCACUGGGGACACACUGGGGACACACUGGGGGGCACUGGGGACACACUGGGGGGCACUGGGGACACACUGGGAGCACUGGGGACACACUGGGGGGCACUGGGGUGUCACAGCGGGGCUGGGGUCCCUCGUGCUGCUGCUCCAAAGCCUCAGGGAGCGACUGGGACGUUCUGGGGUCACUGGGAUGUUCUGGGGGUCUCUGGGGGUCACUGGGAUGUUCUGGGGGGGUCACUGGGAUGUUCUGGGGGUCUCUGGGGGUCUCUGGGGGUCACUGGGAUGUUCUGGGGGUCUCUGGGGGUCUCUGGGGGUCUCUGGGAGCGCCCCCAUUCCCUCUCUCCCCUCAGCGCCGGGGGAAGCCUGUGGGGAACCCCUGCCCCAUCUGCCGGGACCGGAACCUGCUCGUGGAUUUUCGGAACGUGAAGCUGCUGGACCAGUUCAUCUGUCCCCACUCAGGAGUCAUCUUCCACCCCAUCCACACAGGGAUCUGCCUGAAGCAGCACAAGCGCCUGUCCCAGGCCAUCGCCCAGGCCCAGGACCGCGGUGAGCCCCAAGCCCGG